rnacentral:rRNA from 1 species
UACGAAGGGGGCUAGCGUUGCUCGGAAUCACUGGGCGUAAAGGGUGCGUAGGCGGGUCUUUAAGUCAGGGGUGAAAUCCUGGAGCUCAACUCCAGAACUGCCUUUGAUACUGAGGAUCUUGAGCUCGGGAGAGGUGAGUGGAACUGCGAGUGUAGAGGUGAAAUUCGUAGAUAUUCGCAAGAACACCAGUGGCGAAGGCGGCUCACUGGCCCGGUACUGACGCUGAGGUGCGAAAGCGUGGGGAGCAAACAGG